CUCUGAUACCAAAUUUGUUAGUGCGGAAACGAAGUGUUGAAAAAAAACUUGAAUUUUUAUUGAUA